rnacentral:rRNA from 1 species
AACGAACGCUGGCGGCAUGCCUAACACAUGCAAGUCGAACGAGACCUUCGGGUCUAGUGGCGCACGGGUGCGUAACGCGUGGGAAUCUGCCCUUGGGUUCGGAAUAACAGCGAGAAAUUGCUGCUAAUACCGGAUGAUGACGUAAGUCCAAAGAUUUAUCGCCCAAGGAUGAGCCCGCGUAGGAUUAGCUAGUUGGUGAGGUAAAGGCUCACCAAGGCGACGAUCCUUAGCUGGUCUGAGAGGAUGAUCAGCCACACUGGGACUGAGACACGGCCCAGACUCCUACGGGAGGCAGCAGUGGGGAAUAUUGGACAAUGGGCGAAAGCCUGAUCCAGCAAUGCCGCGUGAGUGAUGAAGGCCUUAGGGUUGUAAAGCUCUUUUACCCGGGAUGAUAAUGACAGUACCGGAGGAAUAAGCUCCGGCUAACUCCGUGCCAGCAGCCGCGGUAAU